rnacentral:tRNA from 1 species
UAGCUCAGUUGGUUGAGCGUGGUGCUGGUAACACCAAAGGUCAUGGAUUCGAUUCCCGU